rnacentral:lncRNA from 1 species
CCGUUUCCUUGAUGUCCUCCUGCUCCUCAUACUGAGCAAGGUCAAACUGUUCCUCUACCCAGCGGUCAGUGUCCCCACCGUGCGUGGGCUGCUGGGGCUCUUUUUCGGGGCUGCUUGUGAAGACGGCAUCUGAGUCAAUGGUAAACCUGUUUCGGGCCAGCCGCCGCCUCCUCCUCCCAAGAGACUUGCUUGGGGCUGACACUGCCCUGUUCAUGGCUGGC